AUCAUCGUUGCUCUGCUGGUACA
rnacentral:siRNA from 1 species